AAAAGUCUUAGUUUCUAACUAAAUCAGUAUAGUUUCAGACAAUUCUAGUUAUAGUAUCUCUAAUUUUCAGAAAUACUUAUAAGACCGGCGCCGGAGACUCGAUGUACCACAUACUUUACUCAUAAAGACAGACUUAUUUGGAAACCGUUUUCUUUUUCAAAUUCAAUUUUGAACCCAAGAUUUAUAGCCCAAUUUUUGCAACCUGACUCUAAUACCACUAAAUGUAACACCCUAAACCCAG
rnacentral:lncRNA from 1 species